rnacentral:rRNA from 1 species
GACGAAGGUGGCAAGCGUUGUUCGGAAUUACUGGGCUUAAAGCGCAUGUAGGCUGCUCGUUAAGUGCCUUGUGAAAUCCCUCGGCUCAACCGAGGAAUGGCUGGGCAUACUGGCGGGCUUGAGGCAAGUAUGGGCGCGAGGAACUCUUGGUGGAGCGGUGAAAUGCGUAGAUAUCAAGAGGAACGCCGGUGGUGAAGACGUCGCGCUGGGCUUGUCCUGACGCUGAGAUGCGAAAGCCAGGGGAGCAAACGGG